UCCCAGCAAGAUGUGAAAAAACUAAUUAACCUUCUCCUUUGAGAAUCUCGCCGCCUCUUCUCCCGGUAAAAAGAAACAGUUGGGUUCCAGAUCUGGAAGCAGCGAUGGAAAAGGCUACACGGCAUCCGAUGAUUCAGAUCUACGGCAUUAGGAGCUCGAAGAUACCAACCCCCGUACAAAUACUCCACUUAUGCACAAAAUUUCUUGAGGCAUUUCAAAGCAGUUGAUGCUCCCAUCCUGGUGACUUCAUCAUAUUGAUCAACCCCUGCAUCAUAUGCAAGCAUUCGUAACGCACCUAUCAUUUUUUGUUCUGGGAGCAAUCCCAGCUUUCUUGUGACAUUUGGCUUCUGUUUCCAAAAAUCGUCGAAAUUGCAAAGGUCCGCCAUGAUGCGAUUGAAUACUGGUUUUUGCAUUUGAUAACGCUGACAAAAAAUUGUGUUGCUAUACACUAGACGCUCGACAAAGUAAUCCUUCAUCAUGUUAGCCCCUCUUGAUUGCCUGUGUCUUUCGACGUUAUAGGCACAACCAAGUCGUGAACCACGACCUUAAGGAGUCUGCAUCUGCAUAUGGUGAUAUUGGGCAACCAAUGCAGCGGCUUGAGCAUUGUUGGACCGAAUCUGCAUAAUAUGCUCUUCAUCUUCUUCAUCUCUCGCUCUCAAAUAAUUUCUAGUACAAUCCAUGAAAAUGGUGAGAAGUGAAAUAGAUGAUGAUAUCUGAGUUUAGAAGGAGGAGAUGAAUGUGUGAAUGUAGAAUGA